rnacentral:rRNA from 1 species
AGGAUAAACGCUGGCGGCGUGCCUAACACAUGCAAGUCGAACGCGCUUUCGGGCUUCGGUGCGAGAGCGAGUGGCGGACGGGUGAGUAACACAUGGGUACCUACCUUGGAGUGAGGGAUACCGGCGAGAAAUCGCCGACAAUACCGCAUAGGCUUCUUCACAAGGGAAGCAAAGUGACGCGAGUCACGCUUUGAGAUGGGCCUGUGGCCGAUUAGCUAGUUGGGGGGUAACGGCUUCCCAAGGCGACGAUCGGUAGCUGGUCUGAGAGGACGAUCAGCCACACUGGGAUUGAGAACGGCCCAGACUCCUACGGGGGGCAGCAGUGAGGAAUUUUCCGCAAUGGAGGCAACUCUGACGGAGCAACGCCGCGUGCAGGAGGAAGGUUUUCGGAUCGUAAACUGCUUUUCUCGGGGACGAGCGAAGGACGGUACCCGAGGAAGAAGCCCGGCUAACUACGUGCCAGCAGCCGC